CAGUAGCCACGGGAAUACGUAGGUGGCAAGCGUUGUCCGGAAUUAUUGGGCGUAAAGGGCUCGCAGGCGGUUUCUUAAGUCUGAUGUGAAAGCCCCCGGCUCAACCGGGGAGGGUCAUUGGAAACUGGGAAACUUGAAUGCAGAAGAGGAGAGUGGAAUUCCACGUGUAGCGGUGAAAUGCGUAGAGAUGUGGAGGAACACCAGUGGCGAAGGCGACUCUCUGGUCUGUAACUGACGCUGAGGAGCGAAAGCGUGGGGAGCGAACAGGAUUAGAUACCCGCGUAGUCCCUGUCUCUUAUAC
rnacentral:rRNA from 1 species